rnacentral:rRNA from 1 species
AUUGAACGCUGGCGGCAGGCCUAACACAUGCAAGUCGAACGAGUGGCGGACGGGUGAGUAAUGUCUGGGAAACUGCCCGAUGGAGGGGGAUACCUACUGGAAACGGUAGCUAAUACCGCAUACCAUCUGAUGUGCCCAGAUGUGAUUAGCUAGUAGGUGGGGUAAAGGCUCACCUAGGCGACGAUCCCUAGCGGGUCUGAGAGGAUGACCAGCCACACUGGAACUGAGACACGGUCCAGACGCCUACGUGAGGCAGCAGUGGGGAAUAUUGGACAAUGGGCGCAAGCCUGAUGCAGCCAUGCCGCGUGUAUGAAGAAGGCCUUCGGGUUGUAAAGGACUUUCAGCGAGGAGGCGUUACUCGCAGAAGAAGCACCGGCUAACUCCGUGCCAGCAGCCGCGGUAAUAC